UUCCUUCAGCAGCUCAAAUACUAAAAUUUGAACAAUGCAGAGAAGGUUACCAUGGUGUGUGGAAGAAUAAUACACAUAUUUGUGAAGCGUUCUAUAUUUUU
ensembl:snRNA U6 U6 spliceosomal RNA